AUACGGAGGACGCGAGCGUUAUCCGGAUUCAUUGGGUUUAAAGGGUGCGCAGGCGGCCGUGCAAGUCAGCGGUGAAAGCCCGGGGCUCAACCCCGGAAGUGCCGUUGAUACUGCGUGGCUGGAAUGCGGUCGAGGCGGGCGGAACGUGGCGUGUAGCGGGGAAAUGCGUAGAUAUGCCACAGAAAGCCGAUAGCGGAGGCAGCUCGCCAGGCCUGCAUGGACGCUCGGGCACGAAAGCGUGGGGAUCGAACAGGAUUAGAUACCCUGGUAGUCCACGCCGUAAACGAUGGGCGCUCGUCGUCGGCGACAGACAGUCGGCGGCCAAGCGAAAGCGAUAAGCGCCCCACAUGGGGAGUACGGUCGCAAGGCUGAAACUCAAAUGAAUUGACGGGG
rnacentral:rRNA from 1 species